rnacentral:rRNA from 1 species
UACGUAGGAUGCAAGCGUUGUCCGGAAUUAUUGGGCGUAAAGCGUCCGUAGGUGGCCAUGCAAGUCUGCUGUCAAAGCAUGGAGCUUAACUCCAUAGAGGCAGUGGAAACUGAAUAGCUAGAGUUCGGUAGGGGUAGCGGGAAUUCCCAGUGUAGCGGUGAAAUGCGUAGAGAUUGGGAAGAACAUCGGUGGCGAAAGCGCGCUACUGGGCCGAAACUGACACUGAGGGACGAAAGCUAGGGGAGCGAAAGGG